rnacentral:rRNA from 1 species
AUUGAACGCUGGCAGCAGGCUUAACACAUGCAAGUCGAGCGGGGUGAUGGUGCUUGCACUAUCACUUAGCGGCGGACGGGUGAGUAAUGCUUAGGAAUCUGCCUAUUAGUGGGGGACAACAUCUCGAAAGGGAUGCUAAUACCGCAUACGUCCUACGGGGGAAAGCAGGGGAUCACUUGUGACCUUGCGCUAAUAGAUGAGCCUAAGUCGGAUUAGCUAGUUGGUGGGGUAAAGGCCUACCAAGGCGACGAUCUGUAGCGGGUCUGAGAGGAUGAUCCGCCACACUGGGACUGAGACACGGCCCAGACUCCUACGGGAGGCAGCAGUGGGGAGUAUUGGACAAUGGGGGGAACCCUGAUCCAGCCAUGCCGCGUGUGUGAAGAAGGCCUUAUGGUUGUAAAGCACUUUAAGCGAGGAGGAGGCUCUUUUGGUUAAUACCCAAGAUGAGUGGACGUUACUCGCAGAAUAAGCACCGGCUAACUCUGUGCCAGCCGCCGCGGUAA